rnacentral:rRNA from 1 species
UACGGGGGGGGCAAGCGUUGUUCGGAAUUACUGGGCGUAAAGGGCUCGUAGGCGGCCAACUAAGUCAGACGUGAAAUCCCUCGGCUUAACCGGGGAACUGCGUCUGAUACUGGAUGGCUUGAGGUUGGGAGAGGGAUGCGGAAUUCCAGGUGUAGCGGUGAAAUGCGUAGAUAUCAGGAGGAACACCGGUGGUGUAAACGGCUUUCUGGACCAUAACUGACGCUGAGGCACGAAAGCGUGGGUAGCAAACAGG